rnacentral:rRNA from 1 species
CACGAGGGGGCGAGCGUUGUUCGGAAUUAUUGGGCGUAAAGGGUGCGUAGGCGGUUUGGUAAGUCUUAUGUGAAAUCUACAGGCUCAACUUGUAGUCUGCAUGAGAAACUGCCGGGCUUGAGUAUGGGAGAGGUGAGUGGAAUUCCUGGUGUAGCGGUGAAAUGCGUAGAUAUCAGGAGGAACACCUGUGGCGAAAGCGGCUCACUGGACCAUAACUGACGCUGAUGCACGAAAGCUAGGGGAGCAAACAGG